rnacentral:misc_RNA from 1 species
AUAUUGAAAUCCAUCCAAAUAUUCGCAAGCAAUUCUGGGACCCUCAACAUUGGCCUAAGCAUGUUCUUGUAAGGUAAACAUGGUAAGUAUCAUUACAUUGGGAACGAACUUCUUUAUCUUAAAUUCUUAAUUUUUUUGACUGGAAUACUUCCAUUAAAUUAUGAAGAUCAUAAUUGAAUUAGUGAUGCUUCUGUAAGCUGGUGUAGCCUGGAUCAAGAGAACUGUUUAUCUAUGAAUUCUCCUGAUUUUUGCAGUAACUUUCAUGUGGGAGUUUUACUUGUACUAUUUGAGGUUUGAUUAGUGGAUUAUGCGUACAGAUUAACAUUAAACAGAAUAUCCAUGAAUAACAUGGAUUAUUGUGCCCUUGCAUCAGUUUUUCUAUGUGGGAGACAAUUAUAUUGCCAUGGAUGACCAUGAGGAAGCUGGGAUUAUUAGUUGGGCUUGCUUCCUGGGUUUAAGCCGAGGGUUUGGGUUAAAAUUUUCACAUGUAAGAUUUCAAGUGUAGUGGACCUACAUUGAAUUCUGUAUAGGUCGUAACUCAUCAACCUGUCGGUCAUUUGACAAUCUGUCUGAGUGCUUCCCCUGCUGUCUUCUCACUGAUAGGUGGCAUGGAAAUUUGAAUUAAGAUUUAAGACCUGGUUGCAUUUGCCAUUCUAAUACUUUAUUUGUACAUUAAAAAGUUAUCUUAAAAAAUCUAUUUUUUAUAUCCCAUUUCCCAAAACUACCGCAUAAAGGUUCAAGACUCAUAUAUGGUUUGUGCUUUUUAUUUCCUGUUUCUAAAGGUGUAAUUGAUGAUUUUAUCUUAUUCAAAAUGCAGAGAAAAUUCCAUUGUUUUUUUCUGAUUUAUUCCAACUGUCUGACAUGAUGUGAUUUGCAUUAAAAGUGAGAACUAUAGCAGCUCAUAAUUGUAAUUAACUUUUUAUUGUUUCUUUGUUCUGACUUGACA